CUUCUCUCUGUGCUACAAAUUGAUUCAGAUUGAAUUGUAAAACACUUUUACCUCUUCCUAUAGAACCAUUCCCUGACACUGUCAUCACAAAAGAUGUUAUUAACUGUUCCAAGAUUGAGACUUGAGUGUAAACUGUUUUAACGAUUGCAGUCUUUAGGCUAUCCAAGGAAGAAUCCCCACAACCAUCUUCAGGGUGUCUGUGUGGUUCCAUCCACAGUAAUCUGAUUGUGAGCUUUAGGCUAUCCAUGUGGGGCCAUCCUCAACAGCAGCGAGUUAUUUUCAGGCAACAUGAACUCUGCCCUUCAUUGGUUCUCAUCAUCCAUAUCCCCUAUGUUGGAUUAUAUCAGAUAACCUCAGGUAGAGGGUAACUUUCAGCACCUCAUAACCCUGCAGAUGGUGUUUUCAGUCCAGAGUAUCCACCAGCAAAAAUAUAGUGAUUAACUUAUUGCAAAGUUUGGUCUACUCACAGGGAUGUUGGAAGCUAGCAGGUCAGACAAUAGCUGGAGAGAGAGACGGAAG
ensembl:lncRNA